AUGAUUGAUAUUCCUCUCAAGUUAUUUUAUACCCACUAUCUUUUUCUUAAAUAGGCUAAUUAUGUCCAUGAGACUAAGUAUAAAUAUGAGAAUUUUUUUUGUAAAAGGAAAACCCGAAAUAAGGGAGAAUUGCUGAAAUUAAAAAGAAUAAUGAAGAUACUUGAUUUCUUCAGAGUUAGGACUAGACUAUUUAUUAAUUUAAAGCUGGAAGCCGAGAUGACUUUGAAAAUAAGUAAUAAAGCAAACAGGUCAUUGAUUACCCUCUCAUAAUACAAUUUGAGAAGGCAAGAACCUGGUUUCUCAUUUAGCCAGGAGGAAGGAAGAGAUUU
rnacentral:lncRNA from 1 species